UUUUCAUGUCUUGACCACUUUGUUCAGUUUGAAUUUGUGUCGGUUGAUCCUCGAGCAUAACUACCUUGGCGUCUAGAGUUUUGUUGAGCAAUUCAAAGUACGUAAACUCACCGUGGUUGGCGAGUGCCAUUCUUAUCUCAUACUUUAGGCCAAGGCGAAACUUCUUCGGGAGUUUUUUUUUUUUUUCAUUGGUGUCCACCUAUUGUGGGGCAUAACGGACAUGCCACAACAAAUGUGGUCAUACUCGGUCAUAGAUAUCCUGUUUUGCUUUAGAUUGAACAUUUUCGUUUCUCUCCUCCUAUCGCAGAUAUAAAAAAAAAUAUAUGUAAUAUGUGUCCGUCUUAAAGUCUUUCUAAGACAAGUUUGCUAACCACAUUCUUGAGUCAUUGCUUUUCUUUUGGCCUCCCACCAAAAUCUGUAGAUCUAGUCAACUGGAACGCAACACAUGAAGUCUUUCUUGUGCGGUACAAAGAAAAUCAAAGGUUUUCUUCAUCGUCUUAAUCUAGAGUUUACCCUCAACUGGAUUCUUGGUUUCAUAGCUAUAACAAGCUUUACUCGAGAAAAAGUUCAUCCAUCUUUCGUAAUGGUUCAUUUUUGUCCCCAUCUCGUUUCUAGCUUCUCAUCUACCAGACAUUCUAUUUUUCAAA
rnacentral:lncRNA from 1 species